AGUGAACGCUGGCGGUAGGCCUAACACAUGCAAGUCGAACGGCAGCACAGUAAGAGCUUGCUCUUACGGGUGGCGAGUGGCGGACGGGUGAGGAAUACAUCGGAAUCUACUUUUUCGUGGGGGAUAACGUAGGGAAACUUACGCUAAUACCGCAUACGACCUACGGGCGAAAGCAGGGGAUCUUCGGACCUUGCGCGAUUGAAUGAGCCGAUGUCGGAUUAGCUAGUUGGCGGGGUAAAGGCCCACCAAGGCGACGAUCCGUAGCUGGUCUGAGAGGAUGAUCAGCAACACUGGAACUGAGACACGGUCCAGACUACUAAGGGAGGAAGCAGUGGGGAAUAUUGGACAAUGGGCGAAAGCAUGAUCCAGCCAUACCGCGUGGGGGAAGAAGGACUUCGGGUUGUAAAGCACUUUUGUUGGGAAAGAAAAGCAGAAGGUUAAUACCCCGCCGUUCUGACGGUACCCAAAGAAUAAGCACCGGAUAAAUUCGUG
rnacentral:rRNA from 1 species